CAUCAAAUGGCGACAUAGGUCGUUCCUGACUUCAGUUCUCCUCACAAGAAGACUAGCACUAUCCGUAGACAAGACAGCAUUGUGAUGAUUUUAGAACCUGGGAACGCGGCUGAAGCACCCUCCUGGACCACAGAUACUGAGGAGGACCACAAUAGAACUGUAAGAAGAGCGCCUACACUGACCGCACCUUCUGCCCUCGGGGCUGCACAAAAUCCACUGGAGACCUACGGUUUCUCCAGUGGGAAAAGAGACAAGGUGAACAUCGAGCUUCCCCAGUCUUGAGGGAUGCUUCCCAGGAGGGUCACUAGAGUCUCGCCUAAUGAGUAUCGCUGUGGGACUCUGUGGGGUUCUACCACCGGGAAUCAAAUGGAGACAGAGAAGGAGGCGGGGCUUACAACAGCCAGUACUCAGAACUCGGGGGACCGCGUGCCUGAUUGUAGUGGCGGCAGGCAGAGAUUCCAGCCAGUGGCUCUGCCCGUCCGCAGAGCCAAGUCAGUGACCCCAUCUGGCCAGGCUGCUCGGUUGGCAGUUCUGCCAGAUUUGGGUUCCCAUAAAAUGGGCUAUACUCGCCAGUGGAGCCUGGUCUACCACCCCGCCCAGGAAGGGAGGCAAAUUCGCAGCCCCGUCCAACUGUGGAGCAUAGGUUCCAGUGACGUCGAUUCCAGGAGCCUGGCCAGGGAACUAGGGCAGCCCUGGAGCCCAUUCUGCAGCCCCGCUUGGGCAGGGAGCCAAGCCAGCAGCCCUGCCCCAACUGUUGAGCAUAGUUUCUGGCCUCGCAUAACCAGGGAGCCUGAACAGUAACCCUGGGCAAACUCAGAGCCCAGCCCAGGGCACCACAGAGCUGGGGAGCCCAGCCUACAGCCCUGACCAGCAGCAGAGCAGCUUACCGCCUGCUGGAUUGCUGAAUAGUCUGAGGCCUCACCAGGCAGGGAGGCCAGCCAGUGACCUUGCCCAAUCGUGGAGCUUAGCCUGUGGCUAAACCCAAAAAAGGAGCCUGGACAGCGACCCCACGAGACCAUAGGGCACAGUCUCCAGCCCAACUUCCAGAUACAGCUGGAGGCUCCUCUGGACUGGUGAGCCAGGCCAGAGAACUUGCCCAGCAGCAGAGCACAGGCAGGGGUCUAUAGGACCUUGAACCCCCACCUACAGCUCAGUCCAACUCCUGGGUAUAGCCUGUAGCCCCACCUGAUUGCACAGCACAGCCUGAGGCCCUGCCUGUGGCCCCACAUGAAUCUGGAGUUCAGCCUGCAGCACCAUUUGGUCGGGGAACACAGCCUGAGAACCCACCCGGCCAGCAGUGAUUGUGGAGCCCAGCUCAUAGCCCUGCCCAAUCACGGAGUCCAACCAGUGGUACCCUCCUGCCAGGGAACACAGCCUGUGACCUGGUCCAACCAGAGGAAGAAGUCUACAUUGGUACGUACUGGAAGAUGAAGUGAGUUUGGAGAAGAAGCAUGUGGAUUCUCAGAAAAAUGUUUCUACUGAUCUUCAUACCCAAAUUUGAAGGUAAUCAUAGAGAAAUCUCUAGGAAGAAUAAAGUACCAUAAAACCCAAAGUCUCAGAUACAUCCUCUGAUAUCUCAAGCUUGAGUUCUAACCUCUGCAACAUGAGAAUUGAUGAGUGUCUUCGGAGUAAAGCCGAUGUUUACAUAAAAAUUCAUUUGGCUGAGGAUGCUUCACUUCCUUCAAAGGUCUAUGGAGAUGCUUUGUAAUAGGAGAAAAAUUUAAAAAUGAAGAGAAGACCAAAGAAUGAAAAAAACUUAUUCAACACCAUGUAUUUUUUUUUAAAGCUACUUUGAUUCUAGAUCUCUGUUUAUGCCAUGUGAAAAAGCCCAAGCUAUCCUGCUGUAUGCUAAAGACACAUUACCCUGACAACCCUGUUGUACAGCCUAUAGCCAAUAACUGCAAUGUGAUUGAGGCCUUCUUAGAGCACCAGUUCCCAGCCAACACACCAGCUGCCUGCAGAUGCAUGAAUGAACCCAGCCAAGAUCAGCUGAGUCUGGCUCAGUUGAGCAGAAGCACCUCACUGGCCAUAGACUUAUUCGCAAUAAUAAAUGCUCUUUGUUUUAAAUCGCUGAGUUUUGGAACAAUAGCUAAUGGGCAUACCCCAUUCAACAAAUAAUUAAUUUCCCUCAGUUUUUGUUAAUUAUUUAAUUAGUUUUUAUAUAUAGUGUUAAUAGUUUUCCCAUUAGGUGUUAGAAUGAACCCUUAAUUAUAAGAAUGCAAAAUACCUCCAUUUCUCCAAGAUUAUUUAUAUUCUGUUAGAAGAUAAACAAUGGAAAUGUUUACUAGUAUUUUGUAAUAUUUUAUGACUACUUCAAGUGUUUUGCAAACCCUUCUCUUUUAAAUUGAUUAUGAGGUGUAGUUUAUUAUCACGUAAUCAUCGUGCUAAGUAACUUGGCAUAUUUGAAUAUCUCAGAUUGUUUGAACUUUGUCUUUAUU
ensembl:lncRNA